UGGACUUGACAUGUUAGUGUAAGCCCGAUGAAAGUCGGGCCGUCUGCGAGCUUGCUCAAAGACACUAUCAC
rnacentral:rRNA from 1 species